UACGAAGGGUGCAAGCGUUAAUCGGAAUUACUGGGCGUAAAGGGUGCGUAGGCGGUUUGUUAAGUCUGUUGUGAAAUCCCCGGGCUCAACCUGGGAAUGGCAAUGGAUACUGGCAAGCUAGAGUGUGUCAGAGGAUGGUGGAAUUCCCGGUGUAGCGGUGAGAUGCGUAGAGAUCGGGAGGAACAUCAGUGGCGAAGGCGGCUGCCUGGCCCAAUACUGACACUCAGGUGCGACAGCGUGGGGAGCAAACAGG
rnacentral:rRNA from 1 species